CGGGGGAGGCCGGAUCCUGGGCUGUGUCCCGGCACCCUGUGCCCGGGUUUGCGCUGUUGGAUUCGCUGCUCCCGCCCCGCAGCCCCCU
rnacentral:pre_miRNA from 1 species